rnacentral:tRNA from 1 species
AGUUAAUUAAGCUUUAGAUAAGCUUCUACCUUGAAAGUAUAAGAAUGCGGUUAAAUUCCACAAUUAACUU